ACGACUGAGGCCUCUGGGUCACCUCCCACCCGUGUCUAUCGUACCUUGUUGCUUCGGCGGGCCCGCCGUUUCGACGGCCGCCGGGGAGGCCUUGCGCCCCCGGGCCCGCGCCCGCCGAAGACCCCAACAUGAACGCUGUUCUGAAAGUAUGCAGUCUGAGUUGAUUAUCGUAAUCAGUUAAAACUUUCAACAACGGAUCUCUUGGUUCCGGCAUCGAUGAAGAACGCAGCGAAAUGCGAUAAGUAAUGUGAAUUGCAGAAUUCAGUGAAUCAUCGAGUCUUUGAACGCACAUUGCGCCCCCUGGUAUUCCGGGGGGCAUGCCUGUCCGAGCGUCAUUGCUGCCCUCAAGCACGGCUUGUGUGUUGGGCCCCCGUCCCCCUCUCCCGGGGGACGGGCCCGAAAGGCAGCGGCGGCACCGCGUCCGGUCCUCGAGCGUAUGGGGCUUUGUCACCUGCUCUGUAGGCCCGGCCGGCGCCAGCCGACACCCAACUUUAUUUUUCUAAGGUUGACCUCGGAUCAGGUAGGGAUACCCGCUGAACUUAAGCAUAUCA
rnacentral:rRNA from 1 species